rnacentral:misc_RNA from 1 species
AACCUAGCACACCUGCGGUGUGUACCUGCGGAAGGAUCAUUACAGAGUUGCAAAACUCCCCAAACCAUUGUGAACCUUACCUUCAACCGUUGCUUCGGCGGGCGGGCCACAGCGCCCCCCGGGCCCCCCCAGCGGGGCGCCCGCCGGAGGAUACCCAAACUCUUGAUACUUUAUGGCCUCUCUGAGUCUUCUGUACUGAAUAAGUCAAAACUUUUAACAACGGAUCUCAGAUCGGAAGAG